GCCAAGGCCACCGCUCCUCUCCUUUGGCUUUUUCUCUCUCGCACGCCAAGCUGCUUCUCUUCCUCUUUCGUGCGACGAGCUCCUUCUCUCUCGGCCAAGUCUUGCUUUUGCUUCUUUUUAAUCUUCCUUCGAAGACUGCCAGCCGUCCUCCUUCAGUCUCUGCCGCCUGCUCCACUCCAUCCGCACGAAGCCUUCCACCGAGGCUGACUUCAUGUUCUGUUGACCGAAGCAGCUCGACGCCAGCAGCUACUUCUUCUGCCACGUGAAAUUCAGCCGAUCGAAGCCAGCUCAGCCAUUUCGACUUCACGAGCAGUAGUUCGGCCAGCAAAGUCUUCCCACGUGAAGCCGCCCACCGAUUUUCCUCUGCCACGUCCAAGCUGCCACGCUUUUGUUUUCAUCUCCACCGGUCAACAAUCCUCUCCACCCAGCUCUUUGGUUGACCCUGCAGUUGCCCGUUUGUUCAUCGAGCAGCCAACAAAGCCCACAUCUCCUCUGGCUGUCCACGAAGACCGAAGCUGCCCCGAUUUCUUCAAUUUUCCUCAACUGAAGCAGUCGAGCAGUCCAGCGCCUUCGUCCAACGAUCCGCCGAGGCUGCUGCCGUUCGUCCAUCCCCACACGGCCCGCAAUCUAGCGAGUCUUCAUCCUCCAGCUCACGUGAAUUUUUAGCCCAGCAGUUGGGUCCAUCUCCAGCAACUUCAGCAAGCCCAUUUCAGUGAAGUUCAGUCCAGCAGCCCAGUUUUUGAGGCCCGCUUCAGCUUGGUCCAUUUAAGUUGUAGCCCAUUUUCAGUCUUGAAGUUCAGCCCAUCUUGGGCCCGUGAAGCAAGUCAGCCCAAGUUCGGCCCAAGCCCAGCAAUUUGCUGUAGGCUUGCAAGGCCUUUGGGCCCGGCCCAAGUGAUCGUCGACAUCGCCGAAAAUUCGGAUUUCGGCCGCCAUCGCGCUGUCGCGUCGCCAUCGCGGUGUUCCGGUCUUUGCUUUGCCAAGUGAGUAAUCUCACUAAUCCUUGAUUAGUAGACUAAUGAUGCUUAAGGGUUGAUUAGAUUUAAUUAAGUGCAAUUAGGUUGUUAGAUUAGAAUGGAUUAGUGAUUAUUAGUUAAUUGCAUUACAUAUUAGUUAGGUGGUUAGUGUACUUAGCUAGAGAACUGCCUAUACUAUUUAUUGAAUGCAUCUCGGGAUUUUUCCCGACCCUUAUUGGGCUUCAAUUAGGCAUUACGAGCAUAAAUUGGAUUUUUAGUAUUUAUUUAUUAAUUUUCGAAAUUAAUUAUUUAAUUAUUUAUUUUUCGGAAAUUAGGCAAGGAUAGCCGACGACCGAAAUUUCGUGCUGAUUCUCGUGGCCCAGUCCGUUUAUUUAUUUGAGCUCUACGUGGUGUUGAAUCGAAUUGAUUGUGCAAUUUGAGGAAUUAUUCAUUAAUGACUGAAAUUGAGUGAAAUUGAAUGAUUGAUUGAUGGAUGACCGAGUGUGGUUAUUUAGCAUUAACAAUGCUUUGAUGAGUUGUAAAGUAGAGAAAAUCGUGAGGUUGAACUGAGAAUAAUCUUGGCUGAGAUCGAUCAGGUACAAGGUAUAGACAUACGUGGUUCGGUGAUAAGGAAAUCACUGGUGAAAACGGCGCCUUAAAGAAUGCACGAGUAUUGUCUAUUACCUACAUUAGUAUAGACAUACGUGGUUCAGUGAUAAGGAAAUCACUGGUGAAAACGGCGCCUUAAAGAAUGCACGAGUGCUGUCUACUACAUGCAUCGUUAUGGACAUACGUGGUUCGGUGAUUAAGAAUAUCACUGGUAAAAACGGCGCCUUAAAGAACACACGAGUGCUAUCCAGUACAUAUGUCACCUUGGCGAAAACAACGCCCAAGAGCACAACUGUAGCUCUGUGACUGAGAAUGCAAAUGGGAGGUUUUAUAUUGAGAAGUGAUUUGACCUGGAAAUGGUCCGACUGACAUGUAAUCGACUAGAUCGAUUGAUCAAUGAUUUGAUCCGUUGUCGUGAAUUGACUGAUUGAGUGGAAGUGACUUUGAAUGGUCCGAUUGAUAUGUAAUUGACUAGGUCGAUUGAUCAAGAUAUCGAUCUGUGAUACGAUUGCUAGGGUGCCUAUUGAAAUGUGCUAAUAUGUAGGUGGAAUCUGAGACCAAGGUAAGUCCUCUGACCCGUGCGUGUAUAGGCAGCCCGGUUAGCAUAUUGGUUUCCUAAUUGAGUCUUAGUAGGGUAGAACUUGCUGAGACGUAAUCUCAUCCCGAUUGUGGGACAACAUUUCAGGCCUGUAGAUGAGUCUGUGAAGAAGGAACCAGAAGAGGACAAUGAGCUGGUAAAAGAUGAAGAGCUUGAAGGAUGUGAGCUUAGUGAAGAAGAGUCAGAAGAGGAUUAGGAUGAUCCUGCGUACGACCCGGAUGAGGAUUGAGAUCUCAUCCUCUUUUGUGAACCUUGUGUUGUGUAUAUAGAGUGUGACUAGAAUGUUAUGAAUAGUCUUGUGAAUAGACUUUGAGUUAUGUCAUGUAUAAAGGUUUGGUUGUGGAUUUUAAUAUGAAAAAUAUGGCCUUGCUUUUCUAUCCCAUUGUGUUAUUGUCUGUGGAUUUAUAACUGCUUCCGCAUGUGCUUAAUAAACGAAAGGGUCGGCGAUACUUA
rnacentral:lncRNA from 1 species